GUCUUUUACAACCUUAAUGAUUCUGUGAUUCUCUGUUUCAGGAAGCAAACCUCACUCACCCCGCCUGGACCCUGCCCAGAGGUACGGUGUGAGCCCACCCGCGGGUGCUGGUGUACUCUGGUAACUGACGGUGCAAAAGCGGUCUCUGACGGCGGCUGGCGUCUCGGCGAGGUGACGUCCUUCGGACAGUUACAGACGACGUAGCAGAGCUGGGGACAGAAAGUGUUAUCGUGCGAAUCCCAGGUAGUGGUGGAAGAAGUCAUAAAUCUCGCUCCGUGCUAUGAAGCUCCCUUCUCCAAAAGAGACUUUCAGUACGAUAAAGAAGUGUUUUAUUGCAAAGAACAUUUUCUGGCUACUACCAGUGAGCUGAUGUAUGAAAAAUGAAGCGGCAGUCGUGAGGCUGAUUAGCCAAAAUAAAUUAUGCAGUCUAGAAAAUAUGAGCGUGCAGGAUGUGUGACGGGCGGAAAAUCUCAUUACUGAGGCGCGGAGAGCGGCCGGGCGCCGUCUUAUUCAAAAUACAAGCGUGCAAAUUAGCCACGACGAAAGGCCAAGCUGUCAGAAACGCGAGCUGCGUACGUCUUGUUGCAAAUGUGACAGUAGAACCCAUUUUGUUAUAAAAGAUGUCACAUGCCAGGGAUUUGUCCUCGAAGGCGGUCUUACUUUCCCAAUGGGAAAUUCAGGCUUGUGUCCGUGAG